rnacentral:tRNA from 1 species
GGAGAGCUGGCUGAGUGGCUGAAAGCGCGCCCCUGCUAAGGGUGUAUAGGUUUACCCCUAUCGAGGGUUCGAAUCCCUCGCUCUCCGCCA